rnacentral:rRNA from 1 species
AACCCAAAGGACUUGGCGGUGCCUCAAAACCACCUAGAGGAGCCUGUCCUAUAACCGAUAAUCCCCGUUGAACCUCACCCCUUCUUGCCAAUUCCGCCUAUAUACCGCCGUCGCCAGUUUACCUUGUGAAAGGACAACAGUAAGCAAAAUGGGCAACACCCAACACGUCAGGUCGAGGUGUAGCGAAUGAGGGGGGAAGAGAUGGGCUACAUUUUC